rnacentral:tRNA from 1 species
GGGCCAGUGGCGCAGCUGGGAGCGCGCAUCAAUGGCAUUGAUGAGGUCACCGGUUCGAUCCCGGUCUGGUCCACCA